rnacentral:rRNA from 1 species
AGCGAACGCUGGCGGCAGGCCUAACACAUGCAAGUCGAACGAUCCUUCGGGAUAGUGGCGGACGGGUGAGUAACACGUGGGAACGUGCCCUUUGGUUCGGAACAACUCAGGGUAACUUGAGCUAAUACCGAAUGUGCCCUUCGGGGGAAAGAUUUAUCGCCGUUGGAGCGGCCCGCGCCUGAUUAGCUAGUUGGUGAGGUAAUGGCUCACCAAGGCGACGAUCAGUAGCUGGUCUGAGAGGAUGAUCAGCCACACUGGGACUGAGACACGGCCCAGACUCCUACGGGAGGCAGCAGUGGGGAAUCUUGCGCAAUGGGCGAAAGCCUGACGCAGCCAUGCCGCGUGAAUGAUGAAGGUCUUAGGAUUGUAAAAUUCUUUCACCGGGGACGAUAAUGACGGUACCCGGAGAAGAAGCUCCGGCUAACUUCGUGCCAGCCGCCGCAGUAAAAC